AGUACAAAUAUGAACAUACUUGUGUGUUUCUUUCUGGGCUGUGGGUUACAGUCAAACUGUCUGUAAAGAGGAAUAGUUGCACUGUGGUCCAAGGAAGCCAGGCCUGCUUUUAAACUUUCUCUGACCUUCAUGUUUUCUCUGAGACAAAGGGAUUAAGCCGCUCUUCCAUUGUGAAACUGAGCCCUGCUGGGAUAUGUGACUUUAAAGUCAGUGUGGGUUUUGAGUCUUGUCUUCAGAGACUGCCUGGGAAAUCCC
rnacentral:lncRNA from 1 species